GAUCAUGGCUCAGGACGAACGCUGGCGGCGUGCUUAACACAUGCAAGUCGAACGAGAAUCUACUGAAAGAGUUUUCGGACAAUGGAAGUAGAGGAAAGUGGCGGACGGGUGAGUAACGCGUGAGGAACCUGCCUUGAAGAGGGGGGACAACAGUUGGAAACGACUGCUAAUACCGCAUGACGCAUAGGGGUCGCAUGAUCUUUAUGCCAAAGAUUUAUCGCUUCAAGAUGGCCUCGCG
rnacentral:rRNA from 1 species